rnacentral:tRNA from 1 species
GGGUGGCCGAAUGGUAAGGCACUCGAUUUGGGAUCGAGCAGUUCGACGGCUUCCCCACUCGGGCGUUUCAUUUUUCUCUGACAGCAUUCGCGUCCGGCCGAAGAGGCCACACAAGCCCACUUAAUCUUCAGGCCGCCGGUUCGAGUCCGGUCCUCCCCA